rnacentral:rRNA from 1 species
UAGCGGCGGACGGGUGAGUAACACGUGGAUAACCUACCUAUAAACUGGGAUAACUUCGGAAACCGGACUAAUACCGGAUAUUUUGAACCGCAUGUCAAAGUGAAAGACGGCUGCUGUCACUAUAAUGGAUCCGCGCUGCAUAGCUAGUUGGUAAGGUAACGGCUUACCAAGGCAACGAUGCAUAGCCGACCUGAGAGGGUGAUCGGCCACACUGGAACUGAGACACGGUCCAGACUCCUACGGGAGGCAGCAGUAGGGAAUCUUCCGCAAUGGGCGAAAGCCUGACGGAGCAACGCCGCGUGAGUGAUGAAGGUCUUCGGAUCGUAAAACUCUGUUAUUAGGGAAGAACAUAUGUGUAAGUAACUGUGCACAUCUUGACGGUACCUAAUCAGAAAGCCACGGCUAACUACGUGCCAGCAGCCGCGGUAAUACGUAGGUGGCAAGCGUUAUCCGGAAUUAUUGGGCGUAAAGCGCGCGUAGGCGGUUUUUUAAGUCUGAUGUGAAAGCCCACGGCUCAACCGUGGAGGGUCAUUGGAAACUGGAAAACUUGAGUGCAGAAGAGGAAAGUGGAAUUCCAUGUGUAGCGGUGAAAUGCGCAGAGAUAUGGAGGAACACCAGCGGCGAAGGCGACUUUCUGGUCUGUAACUGACGCUGAU